rnacentral:rRNA from 1 species
AUUGAACGCUGGCGGCAGGCAUAACACAUGCAAGUCGAACGAGUGGCGGACGGGUGAGUAAUGUCUGGGAAACUGCCUGAUGGAGGGGGAUAACUACUGGAAACGGUAGCUAAUACCGCAUACCAUCAGAUGUGCCCAGAUGGGAUUAGCGUGUUGGUGGGGUAACGGCUCACCAAGUCGACGAUCCCUAGCUGGUCUGAGAGGAUGACCAGCCAAACUGGAACUGAGACACUGUCCAGACUCCGACGGGAGGCAGCCGUGGGGAAUAUUGCACAAUUGGCUAAACCCUGAUGCAGCCAUGCCGCGUGGAGGAAGAAGCCUUUCGGGUUGUAAAGUACUUUCAGCGGGGAGGCGUUACCCGCAGAAGAAGCACCGGCUAACUCCGUGCCAGCAGCCGCGGUAAUUC